AUUCACAGGUAAGAAUCUGAACUAUAUAAUAUAUGUAAAUGUGUAUAUAUACAAAAAGAGCCAGAAUAUCAAAAUGGAAUGAAAUCUACUAGAUUCCUCGGUGUACUAGUUGAUGAAAAGUUGUGGCCAAUUCAAUUAAAAUUUCAACUCACGAGUUGAAUAGGAGUAAAUUAGAAAAUUCUGAAUUAGAUUCAUAUGGACAAAUCCUAGAUAGAUCAUAAUGAAUUAGAUUCAUAUGGACAGAUCCCAAUGAAUUAGAUUCAUAUGGACAGAUCGUAGAUAGGUCAUAAUGAAUUAGAUUCAUAUGGACAGAUCGUAAUGAAUUAGAUUCAUAUGGACUGAUCGUAAUGAAUUAGAUUCAUAUGGACAGAUCGUAAUGAAUUAGAUUCAUAUGGACAGAUCGUAAUGAAUUAAAUUCAUAUGGACAGAUCCUAGAUAGAUCAUAAUGAAUUAGAUUCAUAUGGACAGAUCAUAAUGAAUUAGAUUCAUAUGGACAGAUCCUAAUGAAUUAGAUUCAUAUGGACAGAUCCUAGAUAGGUCAUAAUGAAUUAGAUUCAUAUGGACAGAUCCUAGAUAGGUCAUAAUGAAUUAGAUUCAUAUGGACAGAUCCUAGAUAGGUCAUAAUGAAUUAGAUUCAUAUGGACAGAUCCUAGAUAGGUCAUAAUGAAUUAGAUUCAUAUGGACAGAUCCUAGAUAGGUCAUAAUGAAUUAGAUUCAUAUGGACGGGGGGACUUGGUCCUAAAUCAGGCACUCCUUCUCUGAGAUGCUUUGUGGAUACGGCCCCUUCCUGUGGCGCUUCCUGUGAUUGGUUCAAAUGCCAGGCUCUUUGUGAGACCAUCAGCUGAUAGACAUUGUUGUGAAUAUAAUCAUUUGGGGGAUUUAAACUUUCGACCAGUGUUGAAAGGUCCCUUUGGACAGAUCAUAUCAUCUCCAUUGAUACACAAAACAAUACCAGUUUCCCUUGGUUACUUACCAAGGCAACAAGUCUAACAGAAAACACUGCUCAUCUCUGUGUGUUUGACUCUUUCGAGAGUCCUCUUUUGGAUGGACUGUAAGAGUAGUUACGAGCGAGAAGUGUGUGUGUGCGUACGACAGAGAAGUAUAGGAGUACAUUCCUCACAGGUAACACUCUUUGUGCUUUCCCC